CCUUCCUCGCGCGCCAUAAAAGGCGCUUCCUUCCCUCGGCGGCUUCUGGCUCGAGGCCUGGCCUGGCCUGGCCUAGCCCAGCCCGGCGGCGGGAGAGCAAAGGGAACAAUCCGCCCGCGGGGUGAGGCGGGGAGGGAGGCAGGCAAAGAGAGAGAGAGAGAGAAAGUCGAGGUGGCUGGGUUUGCCAAGGCCUUUAUGGAGCGGCCCCGGAGGCCACGAAAGGAGGAGUGCUGGCGAAAAGAGGAAUGGAUCUUUUGUUGCUGCCGCUGCUCAGGCCUUUGCCUGUUAGAAUAAAAACAAAAUAAUGCCCCCGCCCAGCGCCCUGUUUUAACCAGAGGGGGUAAUAGUGAGGUGAAUAGAGGACCUAUUCCUUGCAUUCUGAGUAGAUAGACCUCGUAGAAUACGAAUUUCCCAGUAAGGCAGAUUUUCACCUCAGAAACUCAUUUAAAGCCCCCACCCACAAUAUCCAAGCAGUGACUGUACAUGUCUCCUUUUGCCUUCAGGGCCCUGAUGAGAAAAGAUGAUGUGGAAUUUAUGCCUGUAAUGCAACAACUGAAGGUGUAGGAGCCUAGCCUGGAAAAAAGAAAUAGGCAAUCUCUUUAUUGAACAUCAAUUAUAAAAUUUUCACAAGCAUAUUGGCAAAUAGGUUAAAAAUCUUCCUGAGUAGAAUAAUAGAAAGAGAUCAGGCCGGCUUUCUUCCACAAAGGCAAAUAAAAGAUAACGUCAGAGUAAUUAUCGAUCUUCUGGAAUACGCUGACAUGAAUCCAGGCCUCGAAAUUGCGAUGUUGCUCGUUGACGCGGAGAAGGCAUUCGACAGCGUGUCCUGGCCUUUUAUGAUUAGCGUAUGUGAAAACCUAAAGAACUUUGGUGCAGUGUGGGGGUCAAGCUCAGUCCAUUUCAUGCCCAGGCUGACAGAUCUUCUGUUUUUUCAUGGUUCGCCAUCUGUCCUUGAUCGCCUGAGGAGUCCGAUCCUGAAAGGGGAAUUCCUUGGAAAUGGCUGUCCACUUCCCUUCCACAAACUUUUCCACGCCUUCCUUUAUCCAUUCUGACUCCUGUGAAC